UUAUCUCGGGCCCUUCCUUGUCAAUGGGCUCCUUCUUGGGACUCCUCAUGUAACCCAGGAUGGCCUCAAACCCAAUAUGGCUUACACAGUGACCUUGGACUUCUGAUCCUCCUGCCUCCAACUCCUGGGUGCUAAGACUACAGGCAUGCACACCUUGUAUGCUUCUCCUUGUAUGCUUCUCCUUGUAUGCUGCGCUGGCUCUUGGACCCCCAGGGCUUCCUUCAAGCUUGGUAAAUACCCUACCUCUAAGGUACAUCCUCACCUUUCUGCCUGUGCAAGUCAGGAGCAAAGAGCAAACAGACCUCUCAUGGCAGCACCAGGAAAAACCAACCCUCCUGACACCCCGAUGUUGGGCUUCUGGCCUCCAGAAUCAUGAGUCAAUAAAUGCCUAUGGCUAAAUUCU
rnacentral:lncRNA from 1 species